UGAUCCUGCGGGCACCUCUGGAGGAAGGAGCGGCCCUCUCCAACCUGGCUGGCCGCGGGAGUUUCUGCUCCAUGGACGGAGGCGUGCUGGUGGGAUCACGUUUACAACAUGCUCGUUGCACUUCAACCACCCCCACCGUGCUGAGUCCCAGUCGUAAAGUUGUCUGUGCUGUACUGGGGACAAGUGGGACAACUUGUUAAAGGCAGACACAUUAUUGUGGUUAGACAUGAACUUCCCUUGGCAGGAAACACUUAGCAAGGCUGGCAAAGAGACUGCUUAGCCCUCUCAUGCAAGAUUUCUUCCGAAGUAAAGAAGCACAAAAGGAGACGUUCUGUUCUUUGAAAAUAACUGGAACCACUGGCAAGAAGCAGCAACACUGUGCAUCGAACAAGGAAAACACUUCCAGGUUAUCAAAACAUGCUGUUGAACUGAAUUUUGCAGCUGCAAUU